rnacentral:rRNA from 1 species
GAUGAACGCUGGCGGCGUGCCUAAUACAUGCAAGUCGAGCGAACGGACGAGAAGCUUGCUUUUCUGAUGUUAGCGGCGGACGGGUGAGUAACACGUGGAUAACCUACCUAUAAGACUGGGAUAACUUCGGGAAACCGGAGCUAAUACCGGAUAAUAUUUUGAACCGCAUGGUUCAUAAGUGAAAGACGGUCUUGCUGUCACUUAUAGAUGGAUCCGCGCUGCAUUAGCUAGUUGGUAAGGUAACGGCUUACCAAGGCAACGAUGCAUAGCCGGCCUGAGAGGGUGAUCGGCCACACUGGAACUGAGACACGGUCCAGACUCCUACGGGAGGCAGCAGUAGGGAAUCUUCCGCAAUGGGCGAAAGCCUGACGGAGCAACGCCGCGUGAGUGAUGAAGGUCUUCGGAUCGUAAAACUCUGUUAUUAGGGAAGAACAUAUGUGUAAGUAACUGUGCACAUCUUGACGGUACCUAAUCAGAAAGCCACGGCUAACUACGUG